AACACUGUUAACCUGCGGUACCUGCGGAAGGAUCAUUAAAGAUUGACCGAAAGGUCUUAUCUCUAUAUCCCUCACCUCUGUGAACUGUGGACCUCCGGGUCUAUUUAACAAACAUCAGUGUAAUGAACGUAUAUAUCAUUAAACAAAACAAAACUUUUAACAACGGAUCU
rnacentral:misc_RNA from 1 species